GGCUGUAUAGCUCAGUUGGCUAGAGCAUUCGGUUCAUACCCGAAGUGUCACCGGUUCAAAUCCAGUUACAGCCACCA
rnacentral:tRNA from 2 species